rnacentral:rRNA from 1 species
GAUGAACGCUGGCGGCGUGCUUAACACAUGCAAGUCGAGCGAAGCACUUAAGUCUGAUUCUUCGGAUGAAGACUUUUGUGACUGAGCGGCGGACGGGUGAGUAACGCGUGGGUAACCUGCCUCAUACAGGGGGAUAACAGUUAGAAAUGACUGCUAAUACCGCAUAAGACCACAGUACCGCCUGGUACAGGGGUAAAAACUCCGGUGGUAUGAGAUGGACCCGCGUCUGAUUAGGUAGUUGGUGGGGUAACGGCCUACCAAGCCGACGAUCAGUAGCCGACCUGAGAGGGUGACCGGCCACAUUGGGACUGAGACACGGCCCAGACUCCUACGGGAGGCAGCAGUGGGGAAUAUUGCACAAUGGAGGAAACUCUGAUGCAGCGACGCCGCGUGAAGGAUGAAGUAUUUCGGUAUGUAAACUUCUAUCAGCAGGGAAGAAAAUGACGGUACCUGACUAAGAAGCCCCGGCUAACUACGUGCCAGCAGCCGCAGUAACAC